ACUAUAGUUACAUUUAGGAUUAAACUAGCAUUUAUUACUUAAUACUCAGUAAAAUAGGUCAAGUUUGAAUAUUAAACUUUUUCGCUAUAGCUAGCUAGACUAAAAGCAUGAAAGGAGCUGGGUGAAAAGUCAAAACUUAAAGAGGAAAAUUACAUCACAUAUUUUAAGAUUAUACUACACAUAUUUGAGAACACCUGAAAAAUGCAUUGUUCAUCAAGUUACCCCAUAUGGCUAAUAUGGAAGAUUUCUUCAUAAAAAGCAUCAAAACUUUUUUCAUGUGGAUUACUUUUACAUUAACAAAAAUUUAAAAUUUGAAGAUAAACUUUUGCGAUUUUGUCAUUCAUUAGUUUUCAAAUUUCUCGCUGGAAAUUUUUAAGGUUUAUAACCCAUGUCUCACAGUAACUUUUUCGUUCUAUCGUAAUGUUAAUACAUGAGUUGUGCAACAACUUUUGCAGGAAAAUAAAAACACAUCAAGAGAAAAAGUUUGUUAUUAAAGUAUUAUAAACUAGUUGUUAGCCCGUGGAAAAUCCACGGUUCGCCCAUCCUUUUUAUACUGCAUUGCGUGCUUCUCGCUAUUGCACAGCUAAGCUACCAUUUUGCGUGACAGACAGAUGUAUACGGGUAUUAUAAUAUAGAUUAAUUUCAAACCGAUUAGUCCCUGCAGUCAUUUUGGUGUCAGCGGUAUGAAAAACUAUGCAACUAUACUAAGUAAAAGUCCUAUUACUUCAGUAAAAAUUAAAAUAAUGACUUGAAACGUAGUAUUACAUGUUUUUAGACCAGUUUGAUGAAAUGAACCCAAAAAUUUUUUUUACUACUAUCAUAGCUUCUGAGUUCUUAAUUUUGGCCAUUUUUGGAGACGCCGAUAAACUUUUUUUGACAGCAUAUCAAUUUUGACAAGCCAUGUGUACCGAAAACAUUCUAAGUGAUUCUCAGGAUUAAAAAUAAUUCAAACAGAUAAAAUGUGUCCCAGGUUUAGGACUAAAUACCUUAUCCAGCUCAGAGAAAGUGGGAAUGAGCUUCUAAAGCACAGUGUUAAAUACAUAAUCUAAAUUUUAUGCCGUAUAAAUACAAAGUGGUUAGAAAGUUAUUUUUUGUACACCUGGAUCUGCAACACGUUUACUUGGCACUAAUCGCCCAGUCUGGUGCCACUCACAAUUAAUUUUUGAAUAUCCACAGGAACUUUUUAUGCAAAAUGAAAAAUGCUAAACAACUGUAUUUGCUUUGCAGAAGUAACAAUAGGCUUUAUCUUUAUCAUAAGUCGUGUGAAUGUUGGUUUAUGAAAAAGAUAUUAUACCCUUAAUGCUAUAAGUGCUCUUCUGGAUUUGUAACACAUUACACUAAGUGUCCUCCAUGUGAAACAGUUUACUCUUUACUAAGUCUUAACCUGAAGACUUUAGGUCUUCCCACUUCAAGUGAAUAUUACUUCUGGCUAUACUUUCCCAAAUUUUGUUAUUUCAUAAAAGAAAACUGAAAAUCUACAAAAUUAUUUUUAUAUAUGUGCAGAAAUUUAUUUAUGAAAUAUAGGUUUCAGUUUGUUGUGGAAACAUGUUUACCAACAUGCAAUGUCUUGCAUACCUAACUAGCUAUAUACUCAAGUCUUGAAUGUUCACUGUUAUGGGAGGUCCAAAUAACUACCUAGCUUUUUUUAUUUAAAAUGACAGAAUGCCUUAAAAAAUCUUUUGUGCAGCUAGCUACAUUAAAGCAAUAUAUUUAGCUUUUGUACUUUAUCACUUAAUUAUUUAAUAACAAAUGCGCCCUGGAGUGCUGGCAUGGUACUGGCUAGGUAGCUUAAAAUCACAAAAUAAAUAUUAUCCAGAUGUGACCAUCCCUCAUCAUCAGACAUCAGAACGGCGUUUAUGCUCUUUACUUCUCAUUGUAGGGUACCUCAAAUUCUUGUAAAUCCAAUUAACAAAAAUUACUUAAGAAUUCCUCUUCUUGUAUAUUUGCAGCUUAUUGACACCCUCUUAUUUUAGAAUAUUCUCAGAAAUAAUAGACCAAAAGAAAUUACAUCACAGUUUCUUGUCCACCGCCCACGUGUGUUUGAGAACAACCCACACAAAAAAAUUGUGUGCAAUGGGAGUGAGUGAUGUAAUCUUUCAAUGCGUGUGAUGAAAAGAAAGCGAAACCGUUAUUGUUUUUUCUGCCAAAAAUUUAUUUAAUAAAUCUUGAUAAAGUUAAAAAACUGUUUUGA